GGGCUAUAGUAGCAACAGCAGCCUCAGCAGCCAGGCAGCAGGGCUAUAGCUUGCAGCCAAGCAGACCGCCGCCGCCUCAUCACNNNNNNNNNNCACACACACACACACACACACACACACACACACACACACACACACACACAAUUGCACAUACUUCCCGAAUCAACGCGUUGUCACACAAAUCCUGGACCAUGACAGAUGAGAGAAGAGCAAUAGGCACGGACAACAGGUAUUUCCUCUCUGACAAAUUCAGUUUCAUUCCCGAUGCUUAUUGGUUUUCAUAAGGAAAGAAGCCUAAGCGAUACCUAGCCUGUGCGGACUACCAGAGGACUGGAGGUGGCCUCGGCAGGGGAGGGUGAAGUGGGAGGAGUGAGAUGUGGGGAAGAGAAGAAGCCAAAAUUGACUUUCAGGCUCCGGAAGCCUACAGCUCUCAGCCUCCGCUGUUUUUGAGUUGCAAAUGAUCUGGGAGUGGUGGGUUGCAGGCAGCCCGUGCCAUCGCCUGGAAGAAGACUUCCAUCUUUCAGUCACUAGUUCCAACGGGCCGUGUGUUCUGGAAGGGGGUGGCAGCAGGGAGGAGGAUGCUCUGAGCAGAGUUCUUGAAGCUUUGCUCUUGGGGGAAGCCGGGCUGUGUGGGAGCCUUCUGACUGAGCUGAGAGCGUGUGAAUUGGAAAGGAUCCUGAGAGCUGGCUGGUCCCAGUUCAUCUCCGGAAAAGCUGUCGCUCUCGCUUCAGAGAUGCGCCUAGCCUUCGCCUGCAUCACGCUGCAGAAAAACACAACAGAAACGAGAAAUAAAAGAGUAUCAUAAUUAGAAACGAUCUUCCACUUAGUUGAAGGCUUGCUGGAGAAAUGACGGUUUCACUGUAUUUUAUUCCAAGAAAUAUUAUAGUUACAGCGGAAGGUACCUAAAGCAGACUCCAGGACUCCAGAAUCUUCCAACAGACAACUGCAUAUAAACUAUCAUGGCCUUCGUAGGUCAAAGUGGUUUUGAACUUUUGAGGUAAAGUCUGUGGCCAGACAGGACUUACACCCGUUCUCCUACCCAGCUUUAAAACAGAAGGACUGUUGAAUUUGAGGCCAGACCAAGUUACACAGGUAUUUCUAGAUUAUGGAGUGUGACACUGUCUAAAAAAUUAGAAAGAGAAUAUACUAAAAUUAGUAAUUGUGAAACGCGAUGUAAUUCUGAAAUCUGCUGUUAUGAAAAAAGAGGAAAUCCAGGGCUGCAUUUAUCCUGCCAGUUUAGUUUAAAAUUGUCUGACUCUUUCCCUAAAUCAUCCAAUCUAUUACUUUAUUACAAAUAAGACAGGUCAAGGAGUAAUGAGAAUUGUUUUAACUAGUCAGCUACUCAUCUCAGAAUUCUCUAAAUAGAAAGGCUCACUCAGUGUUUGGGCAAUUUUUGCUCUUGCAAUAUCCAACUAUUUAGGGGUCCAUUCUGUUUAUCAAAAACUUCCAUGCAUAAUCUCUAAAUUUAACUCUGAGUAGCUUAUGACCCAGG
rnacentral:lncRNA from 1 species